AGCGAACGCUGGCGGCAGGCUUAACACAUGCAAGUCGAACGGGCGUAGCAAUACGUCAGUGGCAGACGGGUGAGUAACGCGUGGGAACGUACCUUUUGGUUCGGAACAACACAGGGAAACUUGUGCUAAUACCGGAUAAGCCCUUACGGGGAAAGAUUUAUCGCCGAAAGAUCGGCCCGCGUCUGAUUAGCUAGUUGGUGAGGUAACGGCUCACCAAGGCGACGAUCAGUAGCUGGUCUGAGAGGAUGAUCAGCCACAUUGGGACUGAGACACGGCCCAAACUCCUACGGGAGGCAGCAGUGGGGAAUAUUGGACAAUGGGCGCAAGCCUGAUCCAGCCAUGCCGCGUGAGUGAUGAAGGCCCUAGGGUUGUAAAGCUCUUUUGUGCGGGAAGAUAAUGACGGUACCGCAAGAAUAAGCCCCGGCUAACCUUCGUG
rnacentral:rRNA from 1 species